rnacentral:rRNA from 1 species
CCUUUCGGGGUUAGUGGCGGACGGGUGAGUAACGCGUAGGGAUCUGUCCAUGGGUGGGGGAUAACUUUGGGAAACUGAAGCUAAUACCGCAUGACACCUGAGGGUCAAAGGCGCAAGUCGCCUGUGGAGGAACCUGCGUUCGAUUAGCUAGUUGGUGGGGUAAAGGCCUACCAAGGCGAUGAUCGAUAGCUGGUCUGAGAGGAUGAUCAGCCACACUGGGACUGAGACACGGCCCAGACUCCUACGGGAGGCAGCAGUGGGGAAUAUUGGACAAUGGGCGCAAGCCUGAUCCAGCAAUGCCGCGUGUGUGAAGAAGGUUUUCGGAUUGUAAAGCACUUUCAGCGGGGACGAUGAUGACGGUACCCGCAGAAGAAGCCCCGGCUAACUUCGUGCCAGCAGCCGCGGUAAUACGAAGGGGGCAAGCGUUGCUCGGAAUGACUGGGCGUAAAGGGCGCGUAGGCGGUUGACACAGUCAGGUGUGAAAUUCCCGGGCUUAACCUGGGGUCUGCAUUUGAUACGUGGCGACUAGAGUGUGAGAGAGGGUUGUGGAAUUCCCAGUGUAGAGGUGAAAUUCGUAGAUAUUGGGGA